rnacentral:tRNA from 1 species
GGUAUUAUACUUUAUAUAGAAGAUAUGAUUUGCACUCAUAAAGAAAGGUUAAUCCUUUGAUACCA